AAAAGCUCAAAAUUAAUUAAGCAUUUGACUUGAGAAUCUGGUUAAAAGAAAAUCUCCACCUACACUCCAAAAUAUAAAUAGAACUUAAAUAGAUGAGAAAUUAAUGAAAUAGAAAAUAUAAAACCAAUUUAUAUAAAAAAGAAAAAGUCAAAAAUAGUCAAGAUGCUCCUAAAGAAGAAGAACAAGGUAGAUGGACACCUUAUCAGAGAGGAAUAGGUACCAUAAGAAGGAAAAUAUAAUCUUGACAAUGGAUGGAUUUCUCUAAAUACACACACAUACACACACACACACACACACACACACACAAAACCACAAGUCAUAAAGGAAAAGCUCAACAUAUUUGACUAAAUUAAAUAGAGAAAUUAAGAACUUCUAUUAUCAGAAAGAUAACAUAAACAGGUAAAAGGACAAUGUACAAACUGAAAGAAAAUUUGUAACACAUAGAACUGUCAAAGGAUUCAUAUUUAGAAUACACAGAGAACUCUUAUACAUCAACUAGAAUAUACAAAACAAAAGUGGGAAAACAGGCCAAGCCAGGAACAGUACCUUUAUAGAAAAGGAAAUACAAGCAUCUGAAAAGAUGUUCAACCUGAACAUCAUUAAAUAAAAUUAGACCUACACAAUAAUAUUAUUUUAGGCCCAACAGACAGGCAAAAAUAAAAAAAAAUUCUAGAAAUGCCGAAAGUUAGCAAGGAUGUAAAGCAAUAAAUAUUUAUGUAUUAGUGGGAGUGCAAAUUUUUGCAAUUGCUUUGGGAAACAAUUUGGCAUUGUUUUAAGUGAUGAAUGAUCUGGUUCUGCAUUGCCAGCCAGCAGAGUUGAAGCCCCUGCUUCCAAAAAUGGGAAAUCACAUAUUUUAUAUAUGUAUAUGUGUGUGUGUGUGUGUGUAUAAUAAUCUAGCAAUUACUACUACAUAUCUGUAUACAGUUUACUCCUAGCUAGUUAUGGCAAGAGACCGGUAGAGUAAUUCAUUAUAACAUUAUUUGUAAUAAGGAAAAUAAAGAAAUGGCUUCAAUAUCCAUCACCAGUAGAUGUGAAGACAAAUUGUAGAAUUUGUAAUCAAUGAAACACUAUACAGAAAUAGAAAAUAACUAACUACAGGUAGCCUCAUCAACACAGAUAAAUCUCAAAACACUAGUAAAUUCAGGAAAACUGUAAGUCAAGAGGACUACAUAUAGUAUAAAGACUUACACAGUUCAGGCCCAGGCAUGGUGGCUCACACCUGUAAUCCCAGCACUUUGGGAGGUGGAGGCAGGCAGAUCACGAAGUCAGGAGAUCGAGACCAUCCUGGCCAACAUGGUGAAACCCUGUCUCUACUAACAAUACAAAAAUUAGCUGGGCAUGGUGGCGCAUGUCUGUAAUCCCAGCUACUUGGAAGGCUGAGGCAGGAGAAUUGCUUGAACCAGGGAGUUCGAGGUUGCAGUGAGCCGAGAUUGCACCACUGCACUCCAGCCUGGUGUCAGAGUGAAACUCCAUCAAAAAAAAAAAAAAAAAAAA
rnacentral:lncRNA from 1 species